UAUGCCAAGCCCGCCGACACAGGCUGAUAAGCAACUGUUUAUCUUGUGGGAAGAUAGUCUGUGAACAGGAAGGUGAAGGGCCUUGCAACUUUUGUGGUGCACUUGUGCUGAAGGAGGGAAGCUCAUAUGCUGGAUUAGAUGAAGGUCCAGUUCCAAUUUCCGAUGCUGAGGAAGCAGCUGAAGCGUAUGCAAAGAGGCUAGUUGACUAUGAUCGGAACUCUGCAGCACGUACGACUGUUAUCGAUGACCAAAGUGACUACUAUGAGAUUGAGGGAAACAGCUGGUUGUCGAAGGAGGAAAAGGAAAUUCUGAGGAAAAAGAAAGAGGAGAUAGAAGAGGCUGAACAUGCUAAACGAAAUAGAGUCGUAAUGACUUUUGACCUCGUCGGCCGCAAGGUUCUUUUAAAUAAAGACGAGGCCGCUGAAGAACUGCAGAAGGGAAUUCUCUUCAGACCAGCAGAGGGGAAGGAAGCAACCCGCAUCAAACCUAACCCAAACCUAAAGGUACAACCUGUCUUUGUGGAUCCAGGUCCCAGGAAAACCCCCAAGGAGAAGAAUAAUAAUAAAGGCCCGAGAAAUGGCUUGUGCUUGGAGAUUACUGGGAGAGUGCAACAUGAUACCAG
rnacentral:misc_RNA from 1 species